AGCGAACGCUGGCGGCAUGCUUAACACAUGCAAGUCGCACGGGCAGCAAUGUCAGUGGCGGACGGGUGAGUAACGCGUAGGAACGUGUCCUGAGGUGGGGGACAACCCCGGGAAACUGGGGCUAUUACGGAAAAGGGGCUAAGGCCCAAGACGAGAAGCGGCUUUGGGGGGGGCCUAGUCCGAUUGGGGUGUUGGUGGGGGAAAAGGCUACCAAGCCUGGGGUGGGGAGCUGGGUGGAGGGGACGACCAGCCACACUGGGCCUGAGCCACAGCCCAGAAUCCUACGGGAGGGGGGAGAGGGGAAUAUUGGACAAUGGGCGAAAGCCUGAUCCAGCAAUGCCGCGUGGGUGAAGAAGGUCGUCGGAACGUAAAGCCCUUUCGACGGGGACGAUGAUGACGGUACCCGUAGAAGAAGCCCCGGCUAACUUCGUG
rnacentral:rRNA from 1 species